CAGAUAUUUUUGAAAAUGAGAGGAGUAAUUUGAAGUUAUAAAUAAGAAGUUGUGUUUAAUAGUAGUAAACUAAGUAUGUAUACUAUGAAGCUAAAAUCUACAAGGACGCUUGUGGGUUCUAGUUUGGUGUAUACUUAUUAAAUAAAAUUAGAAUAAACUCUUCCAUUCUCACCAAGAGAAUACCUCAUGAAGAAGAUUAGGCACCUCAUGAAGAGUAUCAUAGUGUUGGUAUACGAAACAAUAAAUUAUCUUCUGUUUAGAAAAUAACAAAGAGAUAGGAUAAUCUCACAUUGUAAGAGUAUUGGGAGAAAAUAAUAGUUGUCGACAAUGCUGCCUCUAUAAUUGUAAAUAUUUCUCUUAUGAGAACCAGGAUCCAAAAAACAAAGUCCAUGACAAAGUCGCUUGAAGCGAUUAUAUCGGGUCAACAAAGAAAGCAAUUGAGGAUGAAUCUCCUACUAAGAAGAAAUAAAUGUUCUGCAAUAUCUCUCACAAAUAAAAUGAAUAAAUAUGAAAUAUGCAGUUAGUAAGUUGAUUCAGAAAAUCCAUAUAGUUCCUAAAGAAAAGAAAUCGUAACAUAUAAAAAUCAAUCUUAUACUAAGUAUUAGGAAGUCUAAAGUAGAAUAUAUAUUUCUGUAUGAAUAUUGAAGUCUCAAGAAGAGCAUAUCCUAGAAGGAAAAGAGUCAUUGAAUGACCUUGUAAUGAAUAUCACUCUCAUUAUGUAUAUCACAUAAUAAUCUCUCAUGUAGUAGAGAAUAUAUCUCAUAGAAUAUAGAUAUUAUUCGUUAAGAAUGAGAACAUCCUUGAAAGAUUUAUUCUAUGAAGGACUUACUAGUCGAUUCUUAACAAACACCAUUAAUCCCU
rnacentral:lncRNA from 1 species